rnacentral:rRNA from 1 species
AAGACGGUCUUGCUGUCACUUAUAGAUGGAUCCGCGCUGCAUUAGCUAGUUGGUAAGGUAACGGCUUACCAAGGCAACGAUGCAUAGCCGACCUGAGAGGGUGAUCGGCCACACUGGAACUGAGACACGGUCCAGACUCCUACGGGAGGCAGCAGUAGGGAAUCUUCCGCAAUGGGCGAAAGCCUGACGGAGCAACGCCGCGUGAGUGAUGAAGGUCUUCGGAUCGUAAAACUCUGUUAUUAGGGAAGAACAUAUGUGUAAGUAACUGUGCACAUCUUGACGGUACCUAAUCAGAAAGCCACGGCUAACUACGUGCCAGCAGCCGCGGUAAUACGUAGGUGGCAAGCGUUAUCCGGAAUUAUUGGGCGUAAAGCGCGCGUAGGCGGUUUUUUAAGUCUGAUGUGAAAGCCCACGGCUCAACCGUGGAGGGUCAUUGGAAACUGGAAAACUUGAGUGCAGAAGAGGAAAGUGGAAUUCCAUGUGUAGCGGUGAAAUGCGCAGAGAUAUGGAGGAACACCAGUGGCGAAGGCGACUUUCUGGUCUGUAACUGACGCUGAUGUGCGAAAGCGUGGGGAUCAAACAGGAUUAGAUACCCUGGUAGUCCACGCCGUAAACGAUGAGUGCUAAGUGUUAGGGGGUUUCCGCCCCUUAGUGCUGCAGCUAACGCAUUAAGCACUCCGCCUGGGGAGUACGACCGCAAGGUUGAAACUCAAAGGAAUUGACGGGGACCCGCACAAGCGGUGGAGCAUGUGGUUUAAUUCGAAGCAACGCGAAGAACCUUACCAAAUCUUGACAUCCUUUGACAACUCUAGAGAUAGAGCUUUCCCCUUCGGGGGACAAAGUGACAGGUGGUGCAUGGUUGUCGUCAGCUCGUGUCGUGAGAUGUUGGGUUAAGUCCCGCAACGAGCGCAACCCUUAAGCUUAGUUGCCAUCAUUAAGUUGGGCACUCUAAGUUGACUGCCGGUGACAAACCGGAGGAAGGUGGGGAUGACGUCAAAUCAUCAUGCCCCUUAUGAUUUGGGCUACACACGUGCUACAAUGGACAAUACAAAGGGCAGCGAAACCGCGAGGUCAAGCAAAUCCCAUAAAGUUGUUCUCAGUUCGGAUUGUAGUCUGCAACUCGACUACAUGAAGCUGGAAUCGCUAGUAAUCGUAGAUCAGCAUGCUACGGUGAAUACGUUCCCGGGUCUUGUACACACCGCCCGUCACACCACGAGAGUUUGUAACACCCGAAGCCGGUGGAGUAACCUUUUAGGAGCUAGCCGUCGAAGGUGGGACAAAUGAUUGGGGUGAAGUCGUAACAAGGUAGCCGUAUCGGAAGGUGCGGCUG